GAUGAACGCUGGCGGCGUGCCUAAUACAUGCAAGUCGAGCGAACGGACGAGAAGCUUGCUUCUCUGAUGUUAGCGGCGGACGGGUGAGUAACACGUGGAUAACCUACCUAUAAGACUGGGAUAACUUCGGGAAACCGUAGCUAAUACCGGAUAAUAUUUUGAACCGCAUGGUUCAAAAGUGAAAGACGGUCUUGCUGUCACUUAUAGAUGGAUCCGCGCUGCAUUAGCUAGUUGGUAAGGUAACGGCUUACCAAGGCAACGAUUCAUAGCCGACCUGAGAGGGUGAUCGGCCACACUGGAACUGAGACACGGUCCAGACUCCUACGGGAGGCAGCAGUAGGGAAUCUUCCGCAAUGGGCGAAAGCCUGACGGAGCAACGCCGCGUGAGUGAUGAAGGUCUUCGGAUCGUAAAACUCUGUUAUUAGGGAAGAACAUAUGUGUAAGUAACUGUGCACAUCUGGACGGUACCUAAUCAGGAAGCCACGGCUAACUACGU
rnacentral:rRNA from 1 species